rnacentral:rRNA from 1 species
UACGAAGGGGGCUAGCGUUGCUCGGAAUCACUGGGCGUAAAGGGUGCGUAGGCGGGUCUUUAAGUCAGGGGGGAAAUCCUGGAGCUCAACUCCAGAACUGCCUUUGAUACUGAAGAUCUUGAGUUCGGGAGAGGUGAGUGGAACUGCGAGUGUAGAGGUGAAAUUCGUAGAUAUUCGCAAAAACACCAGUGGCGAAGGCGGCUCACUGGCCCGAUACUGACGCUGAUGCACGAAAGCGUGGGGAGCAAACAGG